rnacentral:rRNA from 1 species
GACGAACGCUGGCGGCGUGCCUAAUACAUGCAAGUAGAACGCUGAAGGAGGAGCUUGCUUCUCUGGAUGAGUUGCGAACGGGUGAGUAACGCGUAGGUAACCUGCCUGGUAGCUGGGGAUAACUAUUGGAAACGAUAGCUAAUACCGCAUAACAGUAGAUAUCGCAUGAUAUCUACUUGAAAGGUGCAAUUGCAUCACUACCAGAUGGACCUGCGUUGUAUUAGCUAGUUGGUGAGGUAACGGCUCACCAAGGCGACGAUACAUAGCCGACCUGAGAGGGUGAUCGGCCACACUGGGACUGAGACACGGCCCAGACUCCUACGGGAGGCAGCAGUAGGGAAUCUUCGGCAAUGGACGGAAGUCUGACCGAGCAACGCCGCGUGAGUGAAGAAGGUUUUCGGAUCGUAAAGCUCUGUUGUAAGAGAAGAACGAGUGUGAGAGUGGAAAGUUCACACUGUGACGGUAUCUUACCAGAAAGGGACGGCUAACUACGUG